rnacentral:rRNA from 1 species
GAUGAACGCUGGCGGCGUGCCUAAUACAUGCAAGUCGAGCGAACAGACGAGGAGCUUGCUCCUCUGACGUUAGCGGCGGACGGGUGAGUAACACGUGGAUAACCUACCUAUAAGACUGGGAUAACUUCGGGAAACCGGAGCUAAUACCGGAUAAUAUUUUGAACCGCAUGGUUCAAUAGUGAAAGACGGUUUUGCUGUCACUUAUAGAUGGAUCCGCGCUGCAUUAGCUAGUUGGUAAGGUAACGGCUUACCAAGGCAACGAUGCGUAGCCGACCUGAGAGGGUGAUCGGCCACACGGGAACUGAGACACGGUCCAGACUCCUACGGGAGGCAGCAGUAGGGAAUCUUCCGCAAUGGGCGAAAGCAUGACGGAGCAACGCCGCGUGAGUGAUGAAGGUCUUCGGAUCGUAAAACUCUGUUAUUAGGGAAGAACAAAUGUGUAAGUAACUAUGCACGUCUUGACGGUACCUAAUCAGAAAGCAACGGCUAACUACGUG